AGCGAAGCUUUUCAGUAGUUUACUACAGAAAAUGACUGAGCGGCGAACGGGUGAGUAACGCGUGAGCAAUCUACCUUAGUUACAGGGAUAGCCCGAGGAAACUCGGAUUACUACCUGAUAUUCUUUACAUUUCGCAUGAAAUCAAAAGGAAAGGUCAGCCGAACUAAGAUGAGCUCGCGUUCUAUCAGCUAGUUGGUGAGGUAAAAGCUCACCAAGGCAACGACGGAUAGCUGGUCUGAGAGGACGAUCAGCCACACUGGGACUGAGACACGGCCCAGACUCCUACGGGAGGCUGCAGCAGGGAAUAUUGCGCAAUGAGCGAAAGCUUGACGCAGCGACACCGCGUGUGGGAUGACGGAUCUAGGUUUGUAAACCACUUUCAGGAGGGAAGAAAAUGACGGUACCUCCACAAGAAGCCCCGGCCAACUACGUGCCAGCAGCCGCGGUAAUACGUAGGGGGCGAGCGUUGUCCGGAUUUAUUGGGCGUAAAGAGCUCGUAGGCGGUUCAACAAGUCGGUCGUAAAAGUUCAGGGCUCAACCCUGAAAUGUCGAUCGAUACUGUUGUGACUAGGAUACGGUAGAGGUGAGUGGAAUUCCGAGUGUAGCGGUGAAAUGCGUAGAUAUUCGGAGGAACACCAAUUGCGAAGGCAGCUCACUGGGCCGCUAUCGA
rnacentral:rRNA from 1 species